GACGAACGCUGCGGCGUGCCUAAUACAUGCAAGUGGGACGCAAGGGAACACACUGUGCUUGCACACCGUGUUUUCUUGAGUCGCGAACGGGUGAGUAACGCGUAGGUAACCUGCCUAUUAGCGGGGGUUAACUAUUGGAAACGAUAGCUAAUACCGCAUAAUAUUAAUUAUUGCAUGAUAAUUGAUUGAAAGAUGCAAGCGCAUCACUAGUAGAUGGACCUGCGUUGUAUUAGCUAGUUGGUAAGGUAAGAGCUUACCAAGGCGACGAUACAUAGCCGACCUGAGAGGGUGAUCGGCCACACUGGGACUGAGACACGGCCCAGACUCCUACGGGAGGCAGCAGUAGGGAAUCUUCGGCAAUGGACGAAAGUCUGACCGAGCAACGCCGCGUGAGUGAAGAAGGUUUUCGGAUCGUAAAGCUCUGUUGUAAGUCAAGAACGUGUGUGAGAGUGGAAAGUUCACACAGUGACGGUAGCUUACCAGAAAGGACGGCUAA
rnacentral:rRNA from 1 species